GUGGAUUAGAUACCCUGGUAGUCCACGCCCUAAACGAUGAACACUCGAUGUUAGCGAUAUACAGUUAGCGUCUAAGCGAAAGCGUUAAGUGUUCCACCUGGGGAGUACGCCCGCAAGGGUGAAACUCAAAGGAAUUGACGGGGGCCCGCACAAGCGGAGGAGCAUGUGGUUUAAUUCGAUGAUACGCGAGGAACCUUACCCGGGCUUGAAAGUUACUGAAUGAUCCAGAGACGGAUCAGUCCUUCGGGACAGGAAACUAGGUGCUGCACGGCCGUCGACAACU
rnacentral:rRNA from 1 species